UACGUAGGGUGCAGGCGUUAAUCGGAAUUACUGGGCGUAAAGCGUGCGCAGGCGGUUUGCUAAGACAGGUGUGAAAUCCCCGGGCUUAACCUGGGAACUGCGCUUGUUACUGGCAGGCUUGAGUGUGGCAGAGGGGGGUGGAAUUCCACGUGUAGCAGUGAAAUGCGUAGAUAUGUGGAGGAACACCGAUGGCGAAGGCAGCCCCCUGGGUCAAAACUGACGCUCAUGCACGAAAGCGUGGGGAGCAAACAGG
rnacentral:rRNA from 1 species